rnacentral:rRNA from 1 species
UACGAAGGGGGGCUAGCGUUGCUCGGAAUCACUGGGCGUAAAGCGCACGUAGGCGGCUUCUUAAGUCAGGGGUGAAAUCCUGGAGCUCAACUCCAGAACUGCCUUUGAUACUGAGGAGCUUGAGUUCGGGAGAGGUGAGUGGAACUGCGAGUGUAGAGGUGAAAUUCGUAGAUAUCGGAAGGAACAUCAGUGGCGAAAGCGACUUCCUGGACCAAUACUGACGCUCAUGUGCGAAAGCGUGGGGAGCAAACAGG